CUUCACCGAGCCGAGCAGCAGCGGGUGUUCGGGGUCGCGGUCGGUGCCGUAGGCGGCGAUCAGGGCCUGGGCCUC
rfam:Streptomyces sp. 769, complete genome.